UACGUAGGGGGCAAGCGUUGUCCGGAAUCAUUGGGCGUAAAGAGCGUGUAGGCGGCCCGGUAAGUCCGCCGUGAAAGUCCAGGGCUCAACCCCUGGAAUGCCGGUGGAAACUGCCGGGCUGGAGUCCGGAAGAGGCGAGUGGAAUUCCUGGUGUAGCGGGUGAAAUGCGCAGAUAUCAGGAGGAACACCAAUGGCGAAGGCAGCUCGCUGGGGACGGUACUGACGCUGAGACGCGAAGCGUGGGGAGCAAACAGG
rnacentral:rRNA from 1 species